rnacentral:lncRNA from 1 species
AUGGGAAAGAAGCCACUUUGGGCUUUUCUCUCACAGCCAACUCUUCUUCUCUGUGCCACCUCCCUGGUCCUGCCCGCCCCUCAGGCUCCCAGGCCGAGUCACCACCGCUCUUGCUGGUCUCUUCCUCAACUUCUCUCUCCUGAUUCUUCAGCAGCAGGUAUUAAUCUCACAGAAAAGCAGCUCUUACUUUGGGUCCAGGCAAUCUCUUCCUUGCCAAGAAAUGUGUUUUCAUUUCACCAAAGUCUUUUGAAGUUAAUUCUCCUGUUUUCAUCCUCUAAUCCGAGGAAGACAGAUCUGAUGUGUUUCCAAUGAAGCAUAGAAAAAAAAAAAAGAAAGAAAGAAAAAAAGGCAUAACUUGCCUUUGGCUUCCACUUAAUUUGCAGAUGUGCUGGAGGCACCUCUGACAAUGACAGAGCCACAGCUACCACUGCCAGAGUUCUUGCAGCCACCUCCAAGACUUCUGUACUUGGCAUUAAAGAGAAAGCUUCUUCAAAGCCUGUCCCUCUGGAGCCUGCCAAAGUGACCAUUGCCAAAGGAUCAAAACCACUACCAGCAGCCAGGAGCUCCUUGCCUCCACUAUCAGAGCUACCAUGUCAUCACCAGGUCACUGGAGAUGCCACCAGUGCAGCCCCUAGAGGAGCCAAGGCCAUCCCAAGAAAAUCUGGAAAGCAGAAAAAUGUGUCUUUGGUGCUGGCCUUUUGCUGCCAUCAAAAAAAACUCUAAGCUCUGUGACGGUGGAGACCAUGACUUUCUUACUCACUUUUGCAUCCCUAAGAUCUAGCACAGUGUAUGGUACAUAGCCGGUACUCGAGAAAUCAUUGUUGAGUGUUGUAGAUGAUGGAUGGAUGGGUGGAUGGGUGGAUGGAUGGAUGGAUGGAUGGAUGGACGCAUGGAUGGAUGGAUGUUGUUCCCCCAGGUGACUUAUGUUAACAUGUAGGCCUGAAAUGAACAACAAACCUCCAGACGGCUGCAGUCAGGGGAAACAUUUGAUAGUUUGACACAGGAAAUAACUACCAAGCAAACGAUUUUUUUUUAGUAACAGGAGAAGCCCUUUGAUGUAGCACUCAACCUGAAAGUUGUUUUCUUCCUGUCAAUGUUAGGGCAGUUUGACACAUUGAGGAGAGAGAAAAUAGAUUCCUGGGUAUUAGCAGGCAGCUGUAGAAAUCAGUACUGGUGAAUUUUCCUUGGAGAAUCGUUUCCUAUACUCCGGUAACGCUCAAAUCUGAACAAUGGUAAAUAGGAAUGGGAAUAAUUUGAGCUAUAUAAACACAGUUCAUAAAGACUUCCUACCUAAAGUCUCAUGCAGAGUACUCUUGGCGCCAUUGUCUCUAGAUGACUUACCAAACUUGACAAUAGAAAGUUACUACUUGGGGGGUCUGGCUCUGUGGCGUAGUGGUUAAGUUCACACUCUCCGCUUCAGCAGCCCUGGGGUUCGCCGGUUCGGAUCCUGGGUGAGGACUUACACAUGGCUCAUCAAGUCAUGCUGUGGCAGCAUCCCACACAGAACUAGAAGGACUUACAACUAGGAUAUAUAACUAUGCACUGGGGCUUGGGGACAGAAAAAAAAAAAAGAGAAAGAUUGGCAACAGAUGUUAGUUGAGGCCAAUCUUCCUCACCAAAAAGCAUACCUAAAAAAAAGAAAGAAAGUCACUGCUCUAGGGUGAGUCAGUGGGGGAGAUGGGGCAGGACUUGGCAUAAAACAUUACGAAACCGAAAAGAGGUUCAGCAAAUAGUGUUGGACUAAGAGAUUUCUUCUUUCUUAAUUAUUUCUACCUAUGUUUUUACUGGUAACUCAGUCAAAAUGACUAAAUAUAGGACAGAAAUGGCUUUAUUGAGGUAUAAUUUACAUACCACAAAAUUCACCUGUUAACAAGCAUACAUUUCAAUGAUUUUAGUAAAUUAAUGCAGUGUGCAACUGUCAUUGCAAUCUUGUUUUAGAACAUUUCUCUCAUGCUCAAAAUUUCUGUCAUUCCCAUUUGCAGUCAACCCCACUCCCAUGACUGGCCCAGACAACAACUUUUCUGCUUCUCUGUCUCUGUAGGUUUGCCAUUUCCAGAAAUUUCACAUAAAUAGGAUAUGCAAGAUACAGUCUUUUGUGUCUGUCUUCCUUCACUUUGCGUGACGUUUUUGAGGUUCACCUAUGUUGCACAUAUAUCAAUAAUUUGUUUCUUUUUAUUGCUGAAUAGAACUCCAUUGUAUAAUACCACAUUUUGCCUAGCCAGUCAAUGGGCAUUUGGAUUGUAUCCAUUUUUUAGCUAUUAUGAAUAAUGAUUCUAUGAAAUUUUUAUACAAGUUUUUAUGUGAACAUAUCUCAUGUAUUUCUCUUGGGUAUAUAGCUAGGAAAGGAACUGCUGGGUCACAUGCUAAAUUUAAGUUUCAUUUUUUAAGACAUUGCCAAACUAUUUGCCAAAGUGGAUGCGCCAUUUUACGUUCUCAGCAGUAAUGUGUGUGCCGUCCAGUUUCCCCUCAUCUCCUACACUUGAGCAAGUCAGUCCUUGGGAUCACAAGCAUUCGAGUGAGUUUAUAGCGGUUCUCAUUGGGAGUUUUAGUUUGCAUUUCCCAAAUCCAAACAGCAUCCCAAAAGGAUGUCGAGCAUCUUUUCACGUGUUCAUCAGCCUUUCAGAUAGCUUCUUAGAAAAAUAUCUUUCAAAUCUUAUGCCCAUUUUUUAAUUAGGUAAUUUGUCGUAUUAUUGAAUUGUAAAUGUCCCAUUUUUCUGAGCACAAAUCCUCCAUCAGAUAUAUGAUUUACAAACAGUGUCUUCUGGUCUGUGGCUUAUCUAUUCAUUCUCUUAACAGCACCUCUUUUUUUCUUUUUUUUUUUUUGCCUAAGGAAGAUUAGCUCUGAGCUAACAUCUGUGCCAACCUUCCUCUACUUUGUAUGUGGGAUGCCUCCACAGCAUGGCUGAUGAGUGGAGUAAGUCUGCACCCAGGAUCCGAAACAGCAAACCCAUGCGCUGAAACAGAGCACACAGAACUUUAACCACCCAGCCAGUGGGCCGGCCUUUAUUAACACCUUUUGAAGAGCGAAAGUUUUUAAUUUCCAUAAAGCCCAACUUAUCGAUUUUUUCUUUUGUGGUCUCUCCUUUUGGUGUUGCAUCAUAUUUUUUCUUUUUUUGUUUUUAUUUUCUUUGUUUUAAUUCUUUUCUUAAUAUUUCUAUAUCAUAUAUUUUUUAACUUGCUGCAUCUAUAUUUAUGCCUAAGUUAAACUAAAUAGGUAUUUCAUAACAGUGUUUAUCUGAUUGCACUCCUCCUUCUUUCAUAAAAUUACAUGUUAAAAGAGCCCUACCAGGUAUUUUUAAAGUGAGGUGUACUUGUUUGACAACUUCAAUAAAUAUUACAAUACCUCAAAGGCCA